GACGAACGCUGGCGGCGUGCUUAACACAUGCAAGUCGAACGGAAAGGCCCUGCUUUUGUGGGGUGCUCGAGUGGCGAACGGGUGAGUAACACGUGAGUAACCUGCCCUUGACUUUGGGAUAACUUCAGGAAACUGGGGCUAAUACCGGAUAGGAGCUCCUGCUGCACGGUGGGGGUUGGAAAGUUUCGGCGGUUGGGGAUGGACUCGCGGCUUAUCAGCUUGUUGGUGGGGUAGUGGCUUACCAAGGCUUUGACGGGUAGCCGGCCUGAGAGGGUGACCGGCCACAUUGGGACUGAGAUACGGCCCAGACUGCUACGGGAGGCAGCAGUGGGGAAUAGUGCACAAUGGGCGGAAGCCUGAUGCAGCAACGCCGCGUGCGGGAUGACGGCCUUCGGGUUGUAAACCGCUUUCGCCUGUGACGAAGCGUGAGUGACGGUAAUGGGUAAAGAAGCACCGGCUAACUACGUG
rnacentral:rRNA from 1 species